AACGAACGCUGGCGGCAUGCCUAACACAUGCAAGUCGAACGAAGGCUUCGGCCUUAGUGGCGCACGGGUGCGUAACGCGUGGGAAUCUGCCCUUGGGUUCGGAAUAACUCAGAGAAAUUUGAGCUAAUACCGGAUGAUGACGUAAGUCCAAAGAUUUAUCGCCCAAGGAUGAGCCCGCGUAAGAUUAGCUAGUUGGUGGGGUAAAGGCCUACCAAGGCGACGAUCUUUAGCUGGUCUGAGAGGAUGAUCAGCCACACUGGGACUGAGACACGGCCCAGACUCCUACGGGAGGCAGCAGUAGGGAAUAUUGGACAAUGGGGGGAACCCUGAUCCAGCCAUGCCGCGUGAGGGAAGAAGGUCCUCUGGAUUGUAAACCUCUUUUGGCAGGAAACAAACCUGCGCUAUACGCGCAGCUGAGGGUACCUGCAGAAUAAGCACCGGCUAACUCCGUGCCAGCAGCCGCGGUAAAG
rnacentral:rRNA from 1 species